GUCUACCGCCAUGCUACCUUGAACAAGCCUGAUCCCAUCCAAUCUUGGAAGCUAAGCAGGGUCAGGUCUGGUUAGUUUUUAGAUAGGAGACCACCUAGGAAGACCACAUGCUAUAGGCA
ensembl:rRNA 5S_rRNA 5S ribosomal RNA